UUCUCAUUUUCUCUCUCAUGCUUCCAGUGAAACCCCUCAUAAUCCAAAAAUGGAGCGUACUUAGGUUCCUUGCAGCUUUAUUUUGUGGAGAGGUAGUAGGUGUCAUUCCUGAAUUCACUGUGUUUAUCAGCUCCAGGAUGAUAUUGGAGGCUCUUGAAAGCAAUUGGAGAUACUUGGGUUGCUGAGGCCUGAGCCGGUCAGCAAAGGCCAGACACCGCCACACCAGUAGAGGAAUAUAUGGAGAAUUUGGUUGGAUUGGGCACAAAGGAAAUAGAGAGAGUGAUGGUACUUGCAGUCACAAACAGGCCUUUUGAUCUUGAUGAGGCCAUUAUUAAAAAGUUUCCACACCGAUUGAUGGUAGGCUUACCAACACACAAAGCAGAGGUAAUACAUUAAGAGGCAUGCAGAGGGGGCAAAGGAAUAAUUGUCUCCUGAGUCUGAUUUGGUAGAAACUACAAAUAUGAUAGAAGUGUUGGAAUUUUUAUGUGUGGACUUACAUAAUUAAUUUGAUAAUAUCAUAAAUCAGUGUUAAUUUAUUUUUGCAUUGUGGUCCAUAAUGGGACUGGACACAUAUUGUUG